rnacentral:rRNA from 1 species
UUUAGUCAAGAAUCUGCAAUAAUAUAAGGGCAGCAGGCGAGUUACAAAUUUAUAUGUAAAUAGUUGGCUAAUUGCCUUAAAACAGAGUUGCUUCAGUAAUUCUAGUUCUUUAAUUUACAACAAUAACAUAAGUUUCUUUAAUUUUGUUAUUUUACCUGUGCAGUUAUAUUUUUAUCAAUAAGUUUAUUGUAAAGUACGAUUAGAGUUUAAUUUAUAUUUAAGUAUUAGUUCAACUUUUGAUGGUGAAAUAGCUAAAAUUUAUUAUACAAUUAAUUUAAUAAAAUUUAUUCUUAAAACAAAGAUUAGACACCUUUUUAUUAUAAACAUAAUUUAACUAGUUACAAAUUACAAGAUAUGGCGGUAAAUUAUAUUUAGAGAAACUUGCAAUUAAUAGAUACACCUCGUUUAAUUUAACUUAAAUUUAUUUAGUUUGUAUACCGUCAUUUUACUUUUUUUAAAUUAAAAUAUAAGAUAUUAAAGUGUAUUAUUAGAUUAAGGUGCAGCUUAUAUUUAAGUCUAAAGUAAGUUGCUGUUAUUAAAAUUAAAGAGGUAAGCUUGGAUAAUUACUGAAUACGGAUUUAAAAGUAAAUUAUAAUUAGAUUAUUAUUUUUGAAUAAACAAAGUUUAUGUACAUAUUGCCCGUCAAUUUCAUAAGUUUUGAAAUAAGUCGUUACAAAGUAGAUUUAUCUAAAGAUGAAUCUA